rnacentral:lncRNA from 1 species
GCACCCUGUGCCUAUCACCUUCCAUGGAAAGCUUCUAUCUCACCCCCCACCUUCCCCCGCACAGAUCCCCAACCCCAGAGCUGAGAUGGAACUGAUGAGGAGGCUGCAGCUCCCCAAGGAACUAGGCGCAGGAGCUGUACGCGCUGACUGGGGGGCAGAGCUCGUUCCUGCUGCAGCAGUAGGGGGCUGGUGGCGACGUGUUCAGCUGCUCCCUGGGGAAUCUGGCCCCUGGGGAGGAGGCAGUGCUGACCCUGCGGUACGUCUGCGAGCUGCCACUGGAGGCUGACGGGGCUGCCCGCUACGUGCUGCUGACCAUGCUGCGUCCCUGCUACAU